rnacentral:rRNA from 1 species
ACGCAUCUCUUCGGGGAUGAGUGGCGGACGGGUGAGUAACGCGUGAGAAUCUGCCUUCAGGACUGGGACAACCACUGGAAACGGUGGCUAAUACCAGAUAUGCAGUGAGUGAAAAGGUUUAUUCCGCCUGAAGAUGAGCUCGCGUCAGAUUAGUUAGUUGGUGAGGUAACGGCUUACCAAGGCAUCGAUCUGUAGCUGGUCUGAGAGGAUGACCAGCCACACUGGGACUGAGAGACGGCCCAGACUCCUACGGGAGGCAGCAGUGAGGAAUUUUCCGCAAUGGGCGCAAGCCUGACGGAGUAAUACCGCGUGCGGGAGGAAGGUCUAUUGACUGUAAACCGCUUUUAUUAAGAAAGAAUUCUGACGGUACUUAAUGAAUAAGCCUCGGCUAACUCCGUGCCAGCAGCCGCGGUAAUACGGAGGAGGCAAGCGUUAUCCGGAAUUAUUGGGCGUAAAGCGUCCGUAGGUGGUUUUGCAAGUCGGCUGUCAAAGCCCGUGGCUCAACCACGGAAAGGCAGUGGAAACUACAAGACUCGAGUGCAGUAGGGGCAGAGGGAAUUCCCAGUGUAGCGGUGAAAUGCGUAGAGAUUGGGAAGAACACCCGUGGCGAAAGCGCUCUGCUGGACUGCAACUGACACUAAGGGACGAAAGCUAGGGGAGCGAAUGGGAUUAGAUACCCCAGUAGUCCUAGCCGUA